UGGGACUAUGGACCCGUUAGGUCUCAGAGAGCCUAUCCGAGCGGAACACCCGGCUAGACUAAAAGAGGGGUGGGGGAAAGGAGGGUUGGGGCGUGGGCAUGGUCUAGGUUUCGGGCUGAGGAGAAAAGGGAGGAAAAAAAGAUUAGUGUGGUACAAGAGCUUAGCUGGGCAGGAGGGUGUGGCAAGGAGGGAAUUGCAGAGAAAGGCUGGUAUCUAGUAAAGCAACGGAAAUGGAACAGGUGGAGGGGUUGAAAAGGCUAGUUGGGUGUAUGCGGCGGGAACUAGAGAGCAUGGAAAUUGCACUUCACAUUUACCUAGUACUUUCAUGACAGCCUUGUGAAGUAGGUGGAACAAGUAUUAUUCUGGGUGUUGCCAGUGAGUAAAAUGCGGUUCAGAGGGAUAUGAUUUGCCCAAAGAAACAAAACUUGUAAGAAGCAACGCUGGGCCUGGAAUACAAAGUCAAUUUAGAGCGGACACCCGAGAAGUCCAGUCCCCUCCUUUUACUUGUAAGGCCCAGAGAGAUCAAACCCAUUAGGAUGAUUUUAUUUCCUUUCUUCCUCCAACCCACGUUCAGGAGAAUUUGGACCGGGACUUUCCCCCCUCUAAGGCCAAAAGAGCUAUUGCACUAAAAACGUCACAAAUACUGGCAAUCCAUACCCAGACUGGGAGCUGGGUACAACAGCCGGAAGAGUGACCGGUGUCUGGAAGGGGCGGGGGGUGGGGGGAGGAUGGGGGACUGCCUGGUCCGCAGCUGCGGCAGCGACAAUGAGGGACACCUGCUGAGAACCUCAGGGAGAGCGGCCAGAGGAAGGAUGCUGAAUGCCACCUGCUGGGCGCGGCCGAGAACUGCAGCCUACUUCGGCAGGAGAACAAAGGCGAUCGAUGCUCUAGCGAGCAGCCCUACCCAGUGCACCACUGGGAAAGCUUCCCAGCAUUAGAGAUGGAGAGUUUGAACUGACCUUAGAAGCCCCUCAUUCGGCAAAUUGGGAAACAGGCCUAGGGUGGGCUGAGUGACAAGCUAAUAAUAUUUGAGGCAGGAAUCAAAACUCAGAUCUUCCUAAUUCCAAAUUCAUCACUUUAUUCCCCGUAUCUUGUUGCCUAUCAGUGGUUAUUUCCACGAGCUCUGUUAAAAAUCUCUAUUUCUUUUCUUCUACUGGAAAUUUUUUCCUUUUCCUUUUUAAAAAUGUUUUCCUACAGUUUUAUUGCUGAUAUCUUUUGUUUUCAGGGCAUGUACAUUUAUUUCCCACUGUAUCCAUCCAUUGCUCUACCUCAUACAUUAUGCUACUUGUUAAUGAUUGAUUGUUAAUAUUUCCCAUGAGCUCUGUAAAAAAAUCUUUGUUUUCUUCAACUACUUUUCUUCUUUAACAAUCUUUUUCUACAAUUAUUAUUAUUGCAGUAUGCACAUUUUUCAAUGUAGCCAUCCAUUGCUCUAUGCCCUACACUCUGCUACUUAUUAGUGUUUGUUGAUAUUUCCCAUAAACUCUGUUAAGAUUUCUAUCUUUUAAAAUUUUCUCCCUACAAUUUUUAUUUUUUAGUUACUUGCAGCUUGUACAUUUCCUAAUGUAUUUUCUCUGCCUCUUCCACAAGACAAUCUUUUACAAUAAAUAAUUAAAAAAGAGAAAAAAUAAUUCAGCAAAACAAACCAACACAUCCAACAAGUCUGAUGUUUAUAUGUAAUGUUCUCCAUAUAUCCACCCCACAUCUGCAAAGAAUAAAAAUAAAAUAUCUUUUCUUUGGGGGCCAA